CGGCAUUUACUAUCCAUCCUGAAUCCCAAUUGUCAAAACCAUUCGAUGCUUGGUGUUCUGAUUCAUCACGGCAGCCCUUUAAUUGAAUUGCCUCCCCCUUUAAGAAACCAUCAAUCAAUCUCCUGUUUGUAUUUGCUUUUGUUUUCUUCUAUUGAAUCACUGAAAAGCAGAUGAGUGGGGCUAGAUUGUGUUCGUUAUUAGGAACCAUCAAUCACUGAGGUUGAAGAGGGGUUAUCGCAUACAUGGUUAGCCUAGGGUUAGGAUGAAGAUGCAGUGAGAUGACGAUACAGGGUUGAAGGUAAUAUUUGGUUUUAGAUCUGAACUGCUGAAUGGGUGAAUUCGUAUUAUACAUGUAAUCUGUUUGAAUCUACAUUGCAUGUGUCGCUUUUAUGUUUGAAGCCUGGUAAUUACUCUGUGAAUUGUACGAUUUCAGCAACCGUGGUUCAUGACUAAUACGCCGUUAAUUGAGACUUCUGAUACUAAUCAGAUUGUUGUGCUUGAUGUAAGUAUUUUUAAUAUGCUUUUAUUGUAAUUAAGAAUUAGUUCUUUUGGUUACACUUUUUCAAUCUCCAGCAGACUACAAAACACUAUUUUUUUGGAAAAAAUAUUAGAAGGAACAUCAAGCUUUAAUCUUUUCAUUAGCUUAGCAUGGUUAGAAAAACCAACAUAAAUUUAAGAUUAGAUCGAUUGGUUUCUAUUUCUCACAAGUUAAUUGAUAUUAAAUAAUCAGAAUUAGAUGAUAAAAGUUGGUUCUUAGAGGGUCUUUUGUAAACUUGAAAAUUAUGACUUAUUAUGAAAUUAAUUAAUAGAUGAAAUGACUAAAAUCACAUUUUUGUAGAAGAUGGGAAGACGUUUUGUUAAUUAAGAGUAAAAUUAUUUUGAUUAGCUUAAAAGGAAAUAAUUUUAUUUUGAGUAAAAUGCCAAAAUCGUCCCUGAUAUUUGGGCACUUUUGCCUGUUACAUCUAAAAUAAGAAUUUUUUGUCUGUUUUGCACUUGUGGAAUGUUGAUUAUGAGCUGGCCAAACUGUUGACCUCUGAGAUGAAGCUUAAGAAACCUUAGAAUUUCUUUGUAUCUUCUGGUUUGCUUGCUUGGAGACAGAGGAUCUCUCAUGUUGACUUUUCCUGGUCCAAGUGCAACACUCGAGCUGUGGAGAUCAUCGUCUGAGUUCUGUGCUUUUAUUAGAUCAAACCUAAUACGAAAUUCGUGGGUUUGGGUUUGGUAUAACCGGUUUCGGGUCAGUUUCAAUCGAAUCCGUUUAGCGAAACGGGUCGAAUCCGACGGAUUCGUGGGUUACCUUUAACCCAUUUAUAUUUUAAAAAUGUAUAUUAUUUAUUAAUUUAAAUAUGUGAAUUAAAGUAUCAACAAUUGAAAAAAAUAAGAAAAAACUUUUGGGUCAAAUGAGUUGUGUUUGGGUCAACCCACGACAAAGUGUUUGGUAAUAGAAGAUGCGAUCUGGGAGAGAUUAUGGGUUCUAUAAAGUCUUUUGGUUAAAAAAUAGGGGUAAGUUCGGUGACCUUAACUCGCCGAAGAGUGUAAAUUCUCAUUGUACAUGAUCGAUCUGUUAAUGUGGUUUGGCUUUGGACUAAUAAUAGAUCAUAAUACCUCUAGGAGAUGUAUGAAACCUUAAUUAAGAGGAUGUUAACUUGGACAUAUCUCUGGUUGGGGUAACGCCGUAACGGGAUCAGAAGGGGUUUGGGUCAAACCUAAUACGAAAUUCAUGGGUUUGGUAUAAACGGUUUCGGGUCAGUUUCAUUCAAACACGCUCAGCUAAACGGGUCGUGUUUGGGUCGAAUCCGACGGGUUCAUGGGUUACCUUUAACCCAUUUAUAUUUUAAAAAUGUAUAUUAUUUAUUGUUUUAAAUAUGUGAAUUAAAGUAUUAACAAUGUGUUUUGAACAGUUAUUUUCCAUUGAUUUCAUCAAUCUCUAUUCACAAAUUCUUUCUUAAAAGUAUGUUAUUAAGGUUAUAAGGAUAGGAGGUUUUGCUACAAAAUAAACUGUUUAUAUUUACUUUCAAUACCUGAUCAUUCUUUUUAAUAAAGUGAUUUAGGAUUUAUUUUACACUUUUGGCAACUUUACAUUAAUUUCAGCGAAGUUGUUGAUUUUAUUGCUCUUUCGUUUGUGAAAGAUGCUGCUGCUGUUCUCAAGCAUUUAAAGGAUCACCUCUUGACCAAAAAUAAAUUCGUGAAGGUUUUGGCAAAGAUUGAAAGUUUAGAAUCUCUAAAGAAUCUUGAAGAAAUCGUGCAAGUAUCAGAUGGAAUCAUGGUGGCACGAGGUGAUCUUGGAGUCGAAAUACCACUAGAAUAGGUUCCUGCAGUACAGGAAGAAAUAAUCGAUCUGUGUAGAAAGUUAAACAAGCCUGUAAUUAUUGCCUCACAGCUUCUUGAAUCAAUGAUCGAAUAUUCUACCCCAACUCGAGCUGAGGUUGCUGAUGUUUCUGAGGCGGUUAGACAACGUGCUGACGCGUUGAUGCUAUCUGGUGAGUCAGCGAUGGGAUCAUAUAGUCAAAAGGCUAUAUCCGUUUUGAGAAUGACUAGCGCCCGAAUGGACGGGCGUAUGGCGUCGUCUUUGCAAAAGAGCAAAAAACUUUGUUGGUUCUCCUCACGGCCCCAUCUCCAGUUCCGGGGAAAACCCGAGUUAGAGGUUUUGUUAGGGGAGAGAAGGCGUGUGCGUUACUGAAAGAUGCAGAAACACAGAAGCUAGCACGCGCUAUGCGCCCCAAAAAGCGGAAGCGGAUACCUCCUUCAUAUAUCCUUGAGCCCGGAUCGAAAACUCAUAGAUGUAGUUGGGGAUCAUCUUAGCGGAUUGCUUGUGCACUCUUCAAGUGGAAAGCCAGGAACUUGUUUGCAUCCGCAUGGCAGAGGGCUGCCACAGUGGAAGGCCACCUAGACUACUCGUUUGCAUCCGCAUGGCAUCCGGAUGGCCGAAUCUUUUCUACAGGCAAUCAAGACAAGACUUGUAGGCUAUGGGAUAUGAGAAAUCUUGCAACCCCGGUCCCGGUUCUUAAAGGCAAACAUCAUGUUUUAAGUAGUGCAUUUGUUUAAUUGACAAAUCUAUUCUUUUUUAUAACAAAUAUUUUCUUAAAAUAGAGUAUUGUAGAUGGUAAGUGUUAGUGGUAAGUUGGUGAUUUGUUCA